CAUAAAUCCUCCUUUAUGGUUAUCCACUCGGUUAAAUACCGCUGUUUAUGACGUCAGUAUUUAUGUCUCAGGACCAACUGUGCAUAUUUGUUGAUGGAAUAUUUUGGAUAAAAACCGAGCGGCCAAAACCAACUUUGCACUGGGGCAGCACCCACCAUGGUUUGGGCCUUAACGAUGGAUUUCAGCCUUUCAUCGCGUGCACAGACGAAAACCACCAACAUGCGAUAAGUGGCCGACGGAUGACCUCACCAAGCUGGGAUUGGAUGAUUUGGAUCAGUUUGGAUGUUUUGACACGUGCUUGGACCCGUUUGUCAAAGAGGACAGCAGCGAAACAGCCGUAUGACAAAACUAAAAAACUCUACCCCGAGUUUGAUUUGCUGCCAUCGUGUAAACAGUUUUGUCUUUCUGUAUAUGCCCUGUUUAAUAUCCAGCUGACUUUGAGUAAAUGGCAGCCUAUACUACAGCUUGUUACUUCACACAGUGCAAACCCAGAGACAGGCACUGAGGCUUGCAUUCAUACCUACAUCCAAUUUAGAAUCACCUACUGUAAUAUGAAUUUCUUUCACUUUAAGAGGAAGGUGGCACACAAAGGGAUGACAUGCAAGCUCCUCAUAGAGAUGCCUCUAUAAAUAAAUAAAUAAAGGGAAAAAAAGAAAAACAGUAUUAAGCAUCUCCAUGUCUGUCCUGUUUAUGUACUCACUGACUGCGUCUGUG